AGGUUGACGGGGGGUUUGCA
rnacentral:miRNA from 1 species